GACGAACGCUGGCGGCGUGCUUAACACAUGCAAGUCGAACGGAAAGGCCCUGCUUUUGUGUGGUGCUCGAGUGGCGAACGGGUGAGUAACACGUGAGUAACCUGCCCUUGACUUUGGGAUAACUUCAGGAAACUGGGGCUAAUACCGGAUAGGAGCUCCUGCUGCAUGGUGGGGGUUGGAAAGUUUCGGCGGUUGUGGAUGGACUCGCGGCUUAUCAGCUUGUUUGUGGGGUAGUGGCUUACCAAGGCUUUGACGGGUAGCCGGCCUGAGAGGGUGACCCGGCUCAUUGGGCCUGAGAGACGGCCCAGAAUCCAACGGGAGGCAGCAGGGGGGAGUCUUGCACAAUGGGGCGAAGCCUGAGGCAGAAACGCCGGGUGCGGGAUGACCGCCUUCGGGUUGUAAACCGCUUUCGCCUGUGACGAAGCGUGAGUGACGGUAAUGGGUAAAGAAGCACCGGCUAACUACGUG
rnacentral:rRNA from 1 species